rnacentral:rRNA from 1 species
AUUGAACGCUGGCGGCAGGCCUAACACAUGCAAGUCGAGCGGAUGAAGGGAGCUUGCUCCUGGAUUCAGCGGCGGACGGGUGAGUAAUGCCUAGGAAUCUGCCUGGUAGUGGGGGAUAACGUCCGGAAACGGGCGCUAAUACCGCAUACGUCCUGAGGGAGAAAGUGGGGGAUCUUCGGACCUCACGCUAUCAGAUGAGCCUAGGUCGGAUUAGCUAGUUGGUGGGGUAAAGGCCUACCAAGGCGACGAUCCGUAACUGGUCUGAGAGGAUGAUCAGUCACACUGGAACUGAGACACGGACCAGACUCCUACGGGAGGCAGCAGUGGGGAAUAUUGGACAAUGGGCGAAAGCCUGGUCCAGCCAGGCCGCGUGUGUGAAGAAGGUCUUCGGAUUGUAAAGCACUUUAAGUUGGGAGGAAGGGCAGUAAGUUAAUACCUUGCUGUUUUGACGUUACCAACAGAAUAAGCACCGGCUAACUUCGUG